AAAAGUGGGAGAGAGCAUAGCUGGGACAAGUAAUCCAACUGGCCAAGGAGAUAUUCUACAACUGUAGAACAUCUUGCCCCAUACAUAACUGGAGGAGUUCCCCAGAAGGAAGGCCCAUCUGGGUUCAGGAACAGGGUCUGGCAUAGGACAGCAGGUGGUACUGUAAAAACAUCUAGCCAGAGUCAUCUAGAGAACAGAGUUUGUAUCAGAUCCCAAAUGAGAAUGGAAAUACUUCCUUUAUGUAAGGACAGAAGUGAGGAAGGAAAAGGCAGAGAAAAAUUAAAGAAGAUAGUGCACCUGUCUCAGGACUCUGUGUCAUUUUGGACCAUCACGCACAGUAAAUAUUAUUGCACAUCUUGUUUUUCUCAAUCAAAAAUCAAGAAAGAAAACCAGAACUAACCCACCUUACUCACUGUAUUACAAAAUACAGCUAUUACACAGCCUUCAUUAUAGUGAAGUUGGUAAGUACGAGUUUAAAUCCUGUAUUUCACAGUACAUUGGACCUGGCUUAUUGGUGGUUUUGAGGAUUGAAAUUAUUUUUCGCUUUACACUGCAGUGUACAAGAAAACGACUUCAUUUAUGUAUUAAUUUCUCUUUAGCAUUCUGUAGGCUGAAACUUAG